AUUAAGGUUUGCAAGACUUUAUCUUACAUAAUCUGAAUGCAAAUCAAACACUUUAAUUAAGAUAAAACCUC
rnacentral:tRNA from 1 species